AGGGCGCAUGGCGGAUGCCUUGGCUCUCGGAGGCGAUGAAGGACGUGAUAAGCUGCGAUAAGCUUCGGGUAGGUGCAAAUAACCUUUGAUCCGGAGAUUUCCGAAUGGGACAACCCGAUUGGUUGAAGACCAAUCAUCCAACGUUGUUGGAGGCUAACGCAGGGAACUGAAACAUCUUAGUACCUGCAGGAAAAGAAAAUAAAUAAUGAUUCCCCUAGUAGUGGCGAGCGAACGGGGACUAGCCCAAACCACCUAUGUUACGGCAUAUGUGGGGUUGUAGGACCACGUUGUGGCAAGAAAACUGGUGAGUAGAAUGUUCUGGAAAGUUCAACCAUAGAGCAUGAUAGUUGCGUAUACGAAGCCAGUCGAAGCCUAGUGGUAUCCUGAGUAGCGCGGAGCACGAGGAAUUCUGCGUGAACCAGCCGGGACCAUCCGGUAAGGCUAAAUACUCCCGAGAGACCGAUAGUGAACCAGUACUGUGAAGGAAAGGUGAAAAGCACUUCGAACAGAAGAGUGAAAUAGUUCCUGAAACCAUGCGCCUACAAGCGGUCGGAGCUCUUACGAGUGACGGCGUGCCUUUUGCAUAAUGAACCUACGAGUUACUUUUUCCGGCAAGGUUAAGGGUCUUGAGACCUGCAGCCGAAGCGAAAGCGAGUCUUAACAGGGCGUUCAGUCGGAAGGAGUAGACGCGAAACCAAGUGAUCUACCCUUGGGCAGGUUGAAGGAUGGGUAACACCAUCUGGAGGACCGAACCAAUAAGCGUUGAAAAGCUUCUGGAUGACCUGAGGGUGGGGGUGAAAGGCUAAUCAAACUUGGAGAUAGCUCGUACUCCCCGAAAUGCAUUUAGGUGCAGCCUUGACUUAUACUGGCAUGAGGUAGAGCGACUGAUAAGAUGCGAGGGCUUCACCGCCUAUCAAGUCUUGACAAACUCCGAAUGCGUGUCAGUUCUAUGUCAGGAGUGAGGGCAUGGGUGCUAAGGUCCAUGUCCUAAAGGAGAACAAUCCGGACCAACAGCUAAGGUCCCUAAAUGAAUACUAAGUUGAACUAACGAAGUCAGAUUGCUAAGACAGCUAGGAUGUUGGCUUGGAAGCAGCCAUUCAUUUAAAGAGUGCGUAACAGCUCACUAGUCGAGGAGUUUGGCGUGGAUAAUAAUCGGGCAUUAAGUAUUCUACCGAAGCUUUGGGAUGUGUAAACAUCGGUAGGGGAGCAUUCCACUCAGCGUUGAAGGCGGGGCGUGAGCCUUUCUGGAGCGUGUGGAAAAGCAAAUGUAGGUAUAAGUAACGAUAAAGGGGGUGAGAAACCCCCUCGCCGAAAGACUAAGGUUUCCUGAUCAACGCUAAUCGGAUCAGGGUUAGUCGGGUCCUAAGGCUCAGCCGAACGGCGAGGCCGAUGGCAGAACCGGUUAAUAUUCCGGUACUACCUCAAGGAGUGACGUGGAGACGGAGCAGUGACAGUGCCGCGGACUGACGGAAUAGUCCGUUAAAGGGUGUAGAUGUUGAUUCCUGCAGGCAAAUCCGCAGGAAGAGUCGAACCUGACAGUAUGGAGUGUCCUUCGGGACAAUCCAAUAGUGCACGUAAGCAUACUCCCGAGAAAAUCCGCUAAACUUAAUCCUUGUGGUACCCGUACCGCAAACGGACACACGUAGUCGGGUUGAAUAUACUAAGGCGCUUGAGUGAUUCACGGUUAAGGAACUAGGCAAACUGACCCUGUAACUUCGGGAUAAAGGGUCCUCAUCAGUGAUGGUGAGGCGCAGAGAAUCGGUCCAGGCAACUGUUUAACAAAAACACAGGGCUGUGCAAAAUAGAAAUAUGAAGUAUACAGCCUGACACCUGCCCGGUGCUGGAAGGUUAAGAGGAGAUGUCAUCGCAAGAGAAGCAUUGAAUUGAAGCCCCAGUAAACGGCGGCCGUAACUAUAACGGUCCUAAGGUAGCGAAAUUCCUUGUCGGGUAAGUUCCGACCUGCACGAAUGGUGUAAUGAUCUGGACGCUGUCUCAACCGUGAGCUCAGUGAAAUUGUAGUAUCGGUGAAGAUGCCGAUUAC
rnacentral:rRNA from 1 species